rnacentral:rRNA from 1 species
CGCGUAGGCGGCACGUCAAGCGUGUGGUGAAAGCCCGGGGCUCAACCCCGGGUCGGCCGUGCGGACUGGCGUGCUCGAGCACUGUAGGGGCGGGUGGAAUUCCGGGUGUAGCGGUGGAAUGCGUAGAGAUCCGGAAGAACACCGGUGGCGAAGGCGGCCCGCUGGGCAGGAAGACCUCGUAAGAGGUCGGCUGACGCUGAGGCGCGACAGCGUGGGGAGCAAACAGGAUUAGAUACCCUGGUAGUCCACGCCGUAAACGAUGGGCACUAGGUGCCUGGGGGAGCGACCCCCCGGGUGCCGGCGCUAACGCAUUAAGUGCCCCGCCUGGGGAGUACGGCCGCAAGGCUGAA